AUUGAACGCUAGCGGGAGGCUUAACACAUGCAAGUCGAGCGAGAGGCGGACGGGUGAGUAAUGUCUGGGAACCUGCCUAAUUGAGGGGGAUAACUACUGGAAACGGUAGCUAAUACCGCAUACCAUUAGAGGUGCCCAGAUGGGAUUAGCUAGUAGGUGGGGUAAUGGCUCACCUAGGCGACGAUCCCUAGCUGGUCUGAGAGGAUGACCAGCCACACUGGAACUGAGACACGGUCCAGACUCCUACGGGAGGCAGCAGUGGGGAAUAUUGCACAAUGGGCGAAAGCCUGAUCCAGCCAUGCCGCGUGUAUGAAGAAGGCCUUCGGGUUGUAAAGUACUUUCAGCAGGGAAGCGUUACCCGCAGAAUAAGCACCGGCUAACUCCGUGCCAGCAGCCGCGGUAAUUC
rnacentral:rRNA from 1 species